UACGUAGGGAGCUAGCGUUGUUCGGAAUUACUGGGCGUAAAGCGCACGUAGGCGGCUUUGUAAGUUAGAGGUGAAAGCCUGGUGCUCAACAUCAGAACUGCCUUUAAAACUGCAUCGCUUGAAUCCAGGAGAGGUGAGUGGAAUUCCGAGUGUAGAGGUGAAAUUCGUAGAUAUUCGGAAGAACACCAGUGGCGAAGGCGGCUCACUGGACUGGUAUUGACGCUGAGGUGCGAAAGCGUGGGGAGCAAACAGG
rnacentral:rRNA from 1 species